rnacentral:piRNA from 1 species
UAAAAAAGAAAUUCAAAACAU